GGGGAUAUGGCGGAAUUGGUAGACGCUACGGACUAAAAUCCGUUGACUUUUAAAAUCGUGAGGGUUCAAGUCCCUCUAUCCCCA
rnacentral:tRNA from 1 species